UACGGAGGGUGCAAGCGUUAUCCGGAUUCACUGGGUUAAAGGCGCGUAGGCGGCCUGCUAAGUCGAACGUGAAAUCCCCGGGCUUAACCGGGAACUGCGUCCGAUACUGGUGGGCUUGAAUCCGGGAGAGGGAUGUGGAAUUCCAGGUGUAGCGGUGAAAUGCGUAGAUAUCGUAAGGAAGACCAGUGGCGAAGGCGGGUCUCUGGACAGUUCCGUGACGCUGAGGCACGAAGGUCAGGGGAGCAAAC
rnacentral:rRNA from 1 species